UGAAGAGGAAUCAGUGGGAAAUCGUUCAUUUGGUGACGCGCUGAUCAGGACUGCACGCUUCUGUGGCUCCCACUUCUGCUCCAAGAUUCUUUGGAGAUCAACCAGCAUCAUGAAGACCCAGGAAGCCAGAAGCAGGUCAAGAAAAAGAAGAGAAAUCAUCGCCUUCUCUCUGUCCUGAUCUGCGGUGUGAGCGCAGUUGGAGAUGAACAUGCCAGCAGGGCUCAUGCAGGAAAGUUGUCACUGUUUACACCUCAUAAAAAUAUUUGUUGGCUUCCGUAUUUAUGGAAUCCAGAUGUUGUCAGUCCCAGCUUUCCCAAAAAAACGUAUUUAUUUUUUAUUACUUUUAUCUUUUAGGACAUCUUUUUUUCUGUCUCUGACAUUUUGUUUCUUUUUUUGUAACCAAAGUUUAUUUCCCCCAAAAAGCUUUUUUUAUUUUUUGCAGAGAUCUGAGAAAC